GUUUGAUCCUGGCUCAAGACGAACGCUGGCGGCGUGCCUAAUACAUGCAAGUCGAGCGAGCCGAACCAAUUGAUUACCUUCGGGUAUGAAGUUAGGGAAGCGAGCGGCGGAUGGGUGAGUAACACGUGGGUAACCUACCCUAUAGUCUGGGAUACCACUUGGAAACAGGUGCUAAUACCGGAUAAAAGGAGAGAUCACAUGAUUUCUUUUUGAAAGGCGGCGUAAGCUGUCGCUAAAGGAUGGACCCGCGGUGCAUUAGCUAGUUGGUAAGGUAACGGCUUACCAAGGCAACGAUGCAUAGCCGAGUUGAGAGACUGAUCGGCCACAUUGGGACUGAGACACGGCCCAAACUCCUACGGGAGGCAGCAGUAGGGAAUCUUCCACAAUGGACGCAAGUCUGAUGGAGCAACGCCGCGUGAGUGAAGAAGGUUUUCGGAUCGUAAAGCUCUGUUGUUGGUGAAGAAAGAUAGUGAGAGUAACUGCUCAUUAUUUGCCGGUAAUCAACCAGAAAGUCACGGCUAACUACGUGCCAGCAGCCGCGGUAAUACGUAGGUGGCAAGCGUUGUCCGGAUUUAUUGGGCGUAAAGCGAGCGCAGGCGGAAAGAUAAGUCAGAUGUGAAAGCCCUCGGCUUAACCGAGGAAUAGCAUCGGAAACUGUCUUUCUUGAGUGCAGAAGAGGAGAGUGGAACUCCAUGUGUAGCGGUGGAAUGCGUAGAUAUAUGGAAGGACACCAGUGGCGAAGGCGGCUCUCUGGUCUGUAACUGACGCUGAGGCUCGAAAGCAUGGGUAGCGAACAGGAUUAGAUACCCUGGUAGUCCAUGCUGUAAACGAUGAGUGCUAAGUGUUGGGAGGUUUCCGCCUCUCAGUGCUGCAGCUAACGCAUUUAAGCACUCCGCCUGGGAGUACGACCGCAAAGGUUAAAACUCAAAGGAAUUGACGGGGCCCGCACAAGCG
rnacentral:rRNA from 1 species